CGGGUGAGUAAUGCCUAGGAUUCUGCCUGGUAGUGGGGGACAACGUUUCGAAAGGAACGCUAAUACCGCAUACGUCCUACGGGAGAAAGCAGGGGACCUUCGGGCCUUGCGCUAUCAGAUGAGCCUAGGUCGGAUUAGCUAGUUGGUGAGGUAAUGGCUCACCAAGGCGACGAUCCGUAACUGGUCUGAGAGGAUGAUCAGUCACACUGGAACUGAGACACGGUCCAGACUCCUACGGGAGGCAGCAGCG
rnacentral:rRNA from 1 species